rnacentral:tRNA from 1 species
GGUGCUGUAGCUCAGUGGUAGAGUGCUUGUCUAGCAUGCAUGAGGCACUAGGUUCAAUCCUCAGCAUCA